CCUACGGGAGGCAGCAGUGAGGAAUAUUGGUCAAUGGCCGUAAGGCUGAACCAGCCAAGUCGCGUGAAGGAAGAAGGAUCUCUGGUUUGUAAACUUCUUUUAUAGGGGAAUAAAGGUAUCCACUAGUGGAUAUUUUCAUGUACCCUAUGAAUAAGCGUAGGAUAACUCCGGGCCAGCAGCCGCGGUACUACGGAGGAUGCGGGCGUUAUCUGGAUUUAUUGGGUUUAAAGGGUACGUAGGUUGUUUUUUAAGUCAGCGGUGAAAGUUUGUGGCUCAACCAUAGAAUUGCCGUUGAAACUGGAAGACUGGAGUGCGUUAGGGGUAGGCGGAAUGCGUGGUGUAGCGGUGAAAUGCAUAGAUAUCACGCAGAACACCGAUUGCGAAGGCAGCUUACUAAGACAGAACUGACACUGAAGCACGAAAGCGUGGGGAGCAAACAGGAUUAGAUACCCGUGUAGUC
rnacentral:rRNA from 1 species